rnacentral:rRNA from 1 species
UGCAGUCGAACGCUUCUUACUUAUCGAACUUCGGUUCACCAAGUAAGAGGAGUGGCGAACGGGUGAGUAACACGUGGGUAACCUGCCCAUCAGAGGGGGAUAACACUUGGAAACAGGUGCUAAUACCGCAUAAUUCAGUUUACCGCAUGGUAGAGUGAUGAAAGGCGCUUUUGCGUCACUGAUGGAUGGACCCGCGGUGCAUUAGCUAGUUGGUAGGGUAAUGGCCUACCAAGGCAACGAUGCAUAGCCGACCUGAGAGGGUGAUCGGCCACACUGGGACUGAGACACGGCCCAGACUCCUACGGGAGGCAGCAGUAGGGAAUCUUCGGCAAUGGACGAAAGUCUGACCGAGCAACGCCGCGUGAGUGAAGAAGGUUUUCGGAUCGUAAAACUCUGUUGUUAGAGAAGAACAAGGAUGAGAGUAAAAUGUUCAUCCCUUGACGGUAUCUAACCAGAAAGCCACGGCUAACUACGUGCCA